GACGAACGCUGGCGGCGUGCCUAAUACAUGCAAGUAGAACGCUGAAGGAGGAGCUUGCUCUUCUGGAUGAGUUGCGAACGGGUGAGUAACGCGUAGGUAACCUGCCUGGUAGCGGGGGAUAACUAUUGGGAACGAUAGCUAAUACCGCAUAACAGUAGAUGUUGCAUGACAUUUACUUAAAAGGUGCAAUUGCAUCACUACCAGAUGGACCUGCGUUGUAUUAGCUAGUUGGUGGGGUAACGGCUCACCAAGGCGACGAUACAUAGCCGACCUGAGAGGGUGAUCGGCCACACUGGGACUGAGACACGGCCCAGACUCCUACGGGAGGCAGCAGUAGGGAACCUUCGGCAAUGGACGGAAGUCUGACCGAGCAACGCCGCGUGAGUGAAGAAGGUUUUCGGAUCGUAAAGCUCUGUUGUAAGAGAAGAACGAGUGUGAGAGUGGAAAGUUCACACUGUGACGGUAUCUUACCAGAAAGGGACGGCUAACUACGUG
rnacentral:rRNA from 1 species